UCUGUUUUCAAGUCGGGGCUGGUGGCUUCUGGCGGUUUCGGAGCCCGUCGGGAGAAGGGAAGGCUGGAUGUGUGCAGGCUCCUGACGGGGAAGCUGAGGAGCCAGGAUCCCAAGGGGGGCUCCCCCCGCCAGCGGCGGGAAGCAGCGGGAGAGCCGCAGGAGCUCCAGGGGCUCAGCAGGCAAAGCGAAAUUACGUCAGCGUACCAGUGGAAAUAUUGCAAAGCAGAGACUGGGAGUAGGUAAAACAAUGCUAUGGAAAGAAGGAACUGCCACCUAAACAGAGAGGGGGCUGGUAUUUAAAACACCACAGAGUGAGAAGACAACCAGAGGCUUCAGCGGGAGUUUGAUACCGCCUGGCCGUGAGCUGCUUGGAAUAAAAGCACCCACCAUGAACCAGAUGGUGAGGUAUAUACCCCAAGUGCAUCUACCCAGGAAAAAUUGACCUCUCAAUCCAAGCCACAUCAUUAUUUGGGAGGAUCAGGAAGCUCAAUGAAUAUUUUUCAUUAAUUUCCUUUGACUAAAGAUCCUUUUUUUUUUCUUUUGCAUUAGGAAGAAAUUGCAACAUGUUUCC